UACGGGGGGGGCAAGCGUUGUUCGGAAUUACUGGGCGUAAAGGGCUCGUAGGCGGCCAAUUAAGUCCGACGUGAAAUCCCCAGGCUUAACCUGGGAACUGCGUCGGAUACUGGAUGGCUUGAGGUUGGGAGAGGGAUGCGGAAUUCCAGGUGUAGCGGUGAAAUGCGCAGAUAUCAGGAGGAACACCGAUGGCGAAGGCAGGUCUCUGGGCCAUAACUGACGCUGAGAAGCGAAAGCAUGGGGAGCGAACAGG
rnacentral:rRNA from 1 species